rnacentral:lncRNA from 1 species
CAAUGGAUUGAAGAAAAUGUUCACGGAAGGAAGAUGAUUAAUUGAUCCAGAGGGCCUGUAGCAACUCUGUUUAACAUGCUAGAUGAGCCAGUCUUAUUCAGUGAUGACUAAGGAUCUAGAGAAAACUGGUGUCAGGUUGGUCUUCUUCUUCCCACCUAUUUUCAGUUGGCCUGCAGUUCCUAGGAUGUGUAUCCUGUAUGCUGGUCACCGGAAGAUAGGCAAAUUUUUGCUUUGUUGCUGGUUCUGGGACAACAGCCAUGAUGACUUCUUGGCAGUCAUUUGCAGACUAAGGUAGCUUUGAAGGUGAAGAUUCUUUGUGUUCAUUCUCAUCCUGAUGUAAAAAUACUACCUGAGACUGGAUAAUUUAUAAACAAAAGAGGUUUAAUUGAUUCACAGUUCCUCAUGCCUGGGGAGGCCUCAGGAAACUUACAAUCACAGCGGAAGGCAAAAGGGAAGAAGGCACCUUCUUCACAAGGUGGCAGGAGAGACAGUGAGGAAGUGCCAUACUUUAAAACCAUCAGCUCUCAUGAGACUUCACUCAUGAUCACGAGAACAGCAUGGGGAACCUUCUCCCAUGAUUCAAUCACCUCCCACCAGCUCCCUCCUCGACAUGUGGGGAUUACAAUUUGAGAUGAGAUUUGGGUGGGUACACAGAGACAAACCAUAUCUAUCAAUUCUGAAUGUUUAAUACCAGUAUUAUUAGAGGAGGAUCUAGUCCCCUUCAGGACAUAAGGAUCUAUGAUCCUCUGUCAGAACAUAUUAGACCCUUUCCUUUGGCUAUAACCAAAAGAUUAUAAACAUACAUCCAGGAAUAAAAAUAGUAUAUUAAAAUUGUGUGUGUGUGUGUGUGUACGAAUGUAAAUUUUUUGUGCCAAAUCUAAAGACUCUUUACCUAGUCCUAAUGUGUCUUGAAGAUCUUCUGCAGUUUUUUUUCUAGAAAUUUUAUAGUUUUAUGUUUUACAUUUAAGUCUGUGAUUCAUUUUUAGUUAAUUUUUUUUGUAUAAGAUGUGAAGCUUAGGUUAAGGUUCAUGUUUUUGCCUAUGGUUGUUCAAUUGCUCUAAUAGCAUUUAUUGAAAAGGUUAAUGAUUUAUUUGUACUUCUGCCAAAAUUAAUUGAUCAUACUCAUGUGGUCAUACUUCCGCUUUCUCUGUUUUAUACCACUUAGCUUUGUCUAUCUUGCUAUCAAUACCACACUGUCUUGAUUACUGUAGCUAUAUAUUACUGUAGCUAUAUAGUAAACUUUAAUAAAAGGAAGAUGAACUUUCUUCUUCUUUUUUCAAAAUCGUUUUGGC